rnacentral:rRNA from 1 species
AGAUUGAACGCUGGCGGCAGGCCUAACACAUGCAAGUCGAGCGGUAGAGAGGUGCUUGCACCUCUUGAGAGCGGCGGACGGGUGAGUAAUGCCUAGGAAUCUGCCUAGUGGUGGGGGAUAACGUUCGGAAACGGACGCUAAUACCGCAUACGUCCUACGGGAGAAAGCGGGGGACCUUCGGGCCUCGCGCCAUUAGAUGAGCCUAGGUCGGAUUAGCUUAGUUGGUGAGGUAAUGGCUCACCAAGGCGACGAUCCGUAACUGGUCUGAGAGGAUGAUCAGUCACACGUGGAACUGAGACACGGUCCAGACCUCCGUACGGGAGACAGGCAGGUAGGGAAUAGUUAGGAACUAAGUGGGACGAAAGCCCGUAGACUCCA